GUAUAUCUUCAUACCAACCCGAUAGAUAGAAUUGAAUUGGAGCAAGAACUACAUUACUGGUAAAAUCAAAUAAAGAUGAAGGUCAUCACUUUCAUUUUGAUUGUUCUGGUUGUUCUUUCCAUUGGAAUUGAAAAUGAAGGACCAUUAAAAGUAAUAGAAGCAAGAAUAUGUGAAGACACAUUGUACCAGUUGCAAUGUAACGAUUUCAAGUGUAAUACUGCUUGUCGCAAGAAGUAUGGAAAACUAGCAAGCGGUAUGUGCAAUGUUGUAGAUGAUUGCACAUGUCAUUUCCCAUGUUAAUUAGUGUUUGACUUUUUAUCCAACUUUGUCUCCAUAUGAAUGUAAGUUUACAUACAACAGGCAAUGCUGGAAUGAAGAAAAUAAAAUUACUCUUUUAUGUUA